UACGGAGGAUCCGAGCGUUAUCCGGAUUUAUUGGGUUUAAAGGGUGCGUAGGCGGAACGGUAAGUCAGUGGUGAAAUCCUGUUGCUUAACAACAGAACUGCCAUUGAUACUGCCGAUCUUGAGUACAUAUGAUGUGGGCGGAAUGUGUCGUGUAGCGGUGAAAUGCUUAGAUAUGACACAGAACACCGAUUGCGAAGGCAGCUCACAAAACUGUAACUGACGCUGAGGCACGAAAGCGUGGGUAUCAAACAGG
rnacentral:rRNA from 1 species